rnacentral:rRNA from 1 species
GAACGCUGGCGGCAGGCUUAACACAUGCAAGUCGAGCGGGGAAAGGUAGCUUGCUACCUGACCUAGCGGCGGACGGGUGAGUAAUGCUUAGGAAUCUGCCUAUUAGUGGGGGACAACAUUCCGAAAGGAAUGCUAAUACCGCAUACGCCCUACGGGGGAAAGCAGGGGAUCUUCGGACCUUGCGCUAAUAGAUGAGCCUAAGUCAGAUUAGCUAGUUGGUGGGGUAAAGGCCUACCAAGGCGACGAUCUGUAGCGGGUCUGAGAGGAUGAUCCGCCACACUGGGACUGAGACACGGCCCAGACUCCUACGGGAGGCAGCAGUGGGGAAUAUUGGACAAUGGGCGAAAGCCUGAUCCAGCCAUGCCGCGUGUGUGAAGAAGGCCUUUUGGUUGUAAAGCACUUUAAGCGAGGAGGAGGCUACUUAGAUUAAUACUCUAGGAUAGUGGACGUUACUCGCAGAAUAAGCACCGGCUAACUCUGUGCCAGCAGCCGCGGUAAUACAGAGGGUGCGAGCGUUAAUCGGAUUUACUGGGCGUAAAGCGUGCGUAGGCGGCUUUUUAAGUCGGAUGUGAAAUCCCUGAGCUUAACUUAGGAGUUGCAUUCGAUACUGGGAAGCUAGAGUAUGGGAGAGGAUGGUAGAAUUCCAGGUGUAGCGGUGAAAUGCGUAGAGAUCUGGAGGAAUACCGAUGGCGAAGGCAGCCAUCUGGCCUAAUACUGACGCUGAGGUACGAAAGCAUGGGGAGCAAACAGGAUUAGAUACCCUGGUAGUCCAUGCCGUAAACGAUGUCUACUAGCCGUUGGGGCCUUUGAGGCUUUAGUGGCGCAGCUAACGCGAUAAGUAGACCGCCUGGGGAGUACGGUCGCAAGACUAAAACUCAAAUGAAUUGACGGGGGCCCGCACAAGCGGUGGAGCAUGUGGUUUAAUUCGAUGCAACGCGAAGAACCUUACCUGGUCUUGACAUAGUAAGAACUUUCCAGAGAUGGAUUGGUGCCUUCGGGAACUUACAUACAGGUGCUGCAUGGCUGUCGUCAGCUCGGGUCGUGAGAUGUUGGGUUAAGUCCCGCAACGAGCGCAACCCUUUUCCUUAUUUGCCAGCGGGUUAAGCCGGGAACUUUAAGGAUACUGCCAGUGACAAACUGGAGGAAGGCGGGGACGACGUCAAGUCAUCAUGGCCCUUACGACCAGGGCUACACACGUGCUACAAUGGUCGGUACAAAGGGUUGCUACCUAGCGAUAGGAUGCUAAUCUCAAAAAGCCGAUCGUAGUCCGGAUUGGAGUCUGCAACUCGACUCCAUGAAGUCGGAAUCGCUAGUAAUCGCGGAUCAGAAUGCCGCGGUGAAUACGUUCCCGGGCCUUGUACACACCGCCCGUCACACCAUGGGAAUUUGUUGCACCAGAAGUAGGUAGUCUAACCGCAAGGAGGACGCUUACCACGGUGUGGCCGAUGACUGGGG